UGGCUGAUCACUGGGAAACUGCACCUCGUCACAUGAUGCGUCUAGAUAUUCGUUCUUUGCUGCAAGAUGCUGCUAUUGAAGAGGUAGAGAUGGAAGAUUUUGAUGCAAAUAUCGAAGAACAGAAAGAAGAAAAGAAAGAUGCAGAGGAAGAGGAAAGCGAACUGGGUUACAUUCCGAAAAGCAAAUGGGAGAUGGACACAUCUGAGGCAAAGCUAGGAAGGAUCUGAGUCUCUCCCUGCGGAGACAGCCCUGAAGAACUCCUGUAACGUCAAGCUGGCAAUUUCCAAGAAGCAAUCUGGAACCUGCAUUUCCAAAGAGACCCACAAGAAAGAAAAGACGUGAGGUUGGGAAGCACUGGUGCCAGAGCCCUCACUAGCGGGUGCUGCCUGUUUCUUGGGUAGUGGGCUAGGAGCAUCCCUGCUCUAGUGGCCCCUGAUUCUGCAACCCUAGGACUCCUCUGCUUCCUCAUCAGACACAAACCUUGAUAAGACAGCUCCAGUGAGAAAGCCCUGGGAGAAGGUGAAUUAAGGACACUUCCUUUGUAGGAGGAGCUGAUCUCGCUAAUGGGCGACUUUUUAACUAAGCAGGUCAGAAAAUCUUACUGAAAGUAAAUCUGUGGCUCAAAGAG
rnacentral:lncRNA from 1 species